GACGAACGCUGGCGGCGUGCCUAAUACAUGCAAGUAGAACGCUGAAGGAGGAGCUUGCUUCUCUGGAUGAGUUGCGAACGGGUGAGUAACGCGUAGGUAACCUGCCUGGUAGCGGGGGAUAACUAUUGGAAACGAUAGCUAAUACCGCAUAAGAGUAGAUGUUGCAUGACAUUUACUUAAAAGGUGCAAUUGCAUCACUACCAGAUGGACCUGCGUUGUAUUAGCUAGUUGGUGAGGUAACGGCUCACCAAGGCAACGAUACAUAGCCGACCUGAGAGGGUGAUCGGCCACACUGGGACUGAGACACGGCCCAGACUCCUACGGGAGGCAGCAGUAGGGAAUCUUCGGAAAUGGACGGAAGUCUGACCGAGCAACGCCGCGGGAGGGAAGAAGGGUGUCGGAUCGUAAAGCUCUGUUGUAAGAGAAGAACGAGUGUGAGAGUGGAAAGUUCACACUGUGACGGUAUCUUAACAGAAAGGGACGGCUAACUACGUG
rnacentral:rRNA from 1 species